GUGCAGCAAUCACCAAUGGUUUUGUUGGUUUCCAUGAAAAUUGCCCAACAUGAAAGGUAACACUUUGAUAAAUAUCUCCCUGUGUAUCCAGUAAAAUAUAUACAAUGGUAAGAAAUCUCCUCCUGCUAAUUGUGCUGCCCACGUCAUAUUGGUAAAGAAGGAAAUAGUGUUGGUGGUAGGCUGUCAGUGGUCACUAGGGAGCAUGGCACUG